rnacentral:lncRNA from 1 species
UUGUGACUGUACUAUUUAGUGUCAUUGUUUUAUAGAUACCAUAGUGAGAAAGGAUUCAUUUCGCAACUCCUACGGCUUCCACUAGAUGUCAACGAUCUUUAUAAAGUUGUUUGAAGCGUCUAUGAUGAACAGAGACCGGAUGACAAGGAAGAGAAGUUGACCUCCCUGGGAUGUCGUCACUUCAUUAUUGGCUGCACCUGCGCAAUCAUGUGAUGCGAUACAUUUUUCAAAGACGUUUUUCAAGACACAGGAGAGGUCGGGUUGAAACAUUACUGAUGUUUCACGUUAAAAAUGGCUCUAAAGAUUGAUGCUAAACAACGUUUGACAUGUUUGAACAAUGUAAAUAGAUUAUUUUUUUUACUUUUCGCCGUGACUCCCCCCCGCGCUACUUUUUUAGUAGCCUACCGAAGCGCUAACAACAUGGAACAACUUGGAGUUAUUUGGACAUCAAUUAUGAACUUUGUCAAAAGAAACCACAUUUGUAGUGGACCUGGGAUUUCUAGAAGUGCCAAUGGAUGAAGAUAAUCAAAGUCCAUCUGUGGACGGGUUCCAAGUGGAAGAAAGUUGGUGAUGAAGUAAUUUGAAGAGUCAUGGAGCUAGAAGCAGAUGCAGUGCAUCAUGAGCUAAUAUAUGUGGACGAGGCAGGUUUCAACCUUGCAAAAACAAGGGGACGUGGCAGAAAUAUCAUUGGACACCGUGCCAUCAUCAACAUCCUGGGACAACGUGGUGGCAACAUAACAAUGUGUGUGGCUAUUAGUCAAAAUGGCAUCCUUCACCAUCAUGCAAUCCUAGGCCCAUACAACACUGCACACAUUAUCACAUUUCUGGACACCCUCCACAACAGACUAAUCCCUAAUAACCAGGGGCCAGAGCAGCCCAGGUACGUUAUCAUCUGGGACAAUGUUAGUUUCACUGGGCUGCUGUGGUCCGCAAUUGGUUCACAGGUCACCCACUUUUCAUCGCACUCUAUCUCCCCCCAUACACUCCGUUCUUGAAUCCUAUUGAAGAAUUCUUCUCUGUAUGGAGUUGGAAGGUGUAUGAUCGCCAGCCCCACCAACGCAUACCCCUUCUACAGGCAAUGGAGGAGGCUUGUGGAGACAUCGAUCAGAGGUCAUGCCAGGCCUGGAUACGGCACUCCAGGCGAUACUUUCCACGCUGCCUAACUCAAGACAACAUUGCAUGUGAUGUGGGUGAAAUCGUAUGGCCAGACCCACAAAGAAGGCUAGAUGCAGCCUAAUCUUUUUCAGUUAUUUUUUUUCUAGCACAAAUGUUUUUGUUUUCUCCUACUGCGCUUUUGUUGUUUCAGGAGUGUUAGAACACUUUGAGCAUUUAAUAAAAAAACGUUUCCCCCUUAUUUGUAUUGAUAACACACUAUGUUCGGAAUACACAUCCAUACUUUACACAUUUGGAUACCUGUGUGUGUGUGUGUGUUUACUACAUGUAUGACAAAACUUUUUUGCAAACUGCUAUGCCUGCACACAGAGAAAGUGUUUUUCCUUUAUACUAUCAGUGCGUAGUUGGUGCUUCAUGUGCUUAUUCAAAUGAUGGUUUGUGUGUACUGUAUUGUUUGCUGG